rnacentral:rRNA from 1 species
AUUGAACGCUGGCGGCAGGCCUAACACAUGCAAGUCGAACGGUAACAGGGAUCAGCUUGCUGAUUCGCUGACGAGUGGCGGACGGGUGAGUAAUGUCUGGGAAACUGCCUGAUGGAGGGGGAUAACUACUGGAAACGGUAGCUAAUACCGCAUAACGUCGCAAGACCAAAGAGGGGGACCUUCGGGCCUCUUGCCAUCGGAUGUGCCCAGAUGGGAUUAGCUAGUAGGUGGGGUAACGGCUCACCUAGGCGACGAUCCCUAGCUGGUCUGAGAGGAUGACCAGCCACACUGGAACUGAGACACGGUCCAGACUCCUACGGGAGGCAGCAGUGGGGAAUAUUGCACAAUGGGCGCAAGCCUGAUGCAGCCAUGCCGCGUGUAUGAAGAAGGCCUUCGGGUUGUAAAGUACUUUCAGCGGGAGGAAGGGAGUAAAGUUAAUACCUUUGCUCAUUGACGUUACCCGCAGAAGAAGCACCGGCUAACUCCGUG